rnacentral:tRNA from 1 species
GCGGACGUGCUGGAACUGGUAGACAGGCAGGCUUGAGGAGCCUGUGGCAGCAAUGCUGUGAGAGUUCAAGUCUCUCCGUCCGCACAA